rnacentral:lncRNA from 1 species
GCCUGUAAUCCAGCACUUUGGGAGGCCAAGGCAGGUAGACUGCCUGAGGCCAGGAGUUCGAGACCAGCCUGACCAACAUAGUGAAACCCUGUCUCUACUAAAAAUACAAAAAAUUACCUGGGCGUGGUGGUGGGGGCCUGUGAUCCCAUCUUUCACUCGCGUCCGUGUGAAGACACCACCAAACAGGCUUUGUGUGAGCAAUAAAGCUUUUAAUCACCUGGGUGCAGGAGGGCUGAGUCCAAAAAGGGAGUCAGCGAAGGGAGAUGGGGUGGAGCUGUUUUAUAGGAUUUGGGUAGGUAAAGGAAAAUUACAGUCAGAGGGGGUUGUUCUCUGGCUGGCAGGGGUGGGGGGUCACAAGGUGCUCAGUGGUGGAGCUUUUGAGCCAGGAUGAGCCAGGAGAAGGAAUUUCACGAGGUAAUGUCAUCAGUUAAGGCAGGGACUGGCCAUUUUCACUUCUUUUGUGGUGGAAUGUCAUCAGUUAAGGCAGGAACAGGCCAUUUUCACUCCUUUUGUGAUUAUUCAGUUACUUCAGGCCAUCUGGAUGUAUACGUGCAGAUCACAGGGGAUAUGAUGGCUUAGCUUGGGCUCAGAGGCCUGACACCAUCUACUCGGAAGGCUGAGGCAGGAGAACUGCUUGAACCCAGGAGGUGAAGGCUGCAGUGAGCCGAGAUCACACCACUGCACUCCAGCUUGGGUGACAGAGCGAGACUCUGUCAAAAAAAAAAAAAGAGAGAGAGAGAGAGAAGGAAAGAAAGAAGAAAGAGAAGGAAGGGAGGGAGGGAGGGAGGAAGGGAGGGAGGGAGGGAGGAAGGAAGGAAGGAGGGAGGGAAAUGCAAGAGCUGUGGUCCUGCUCCAGCCCUGCUGAAUUAGAACCUGCAUUUUAACAAGACCCCCAGGUGAUUCCUGGUCACCUUUAAGGUAUAAGAAGCGCUGAAUGAGUACGUCACCAGGAGACACUGGCCGGUUCCCUUCCUGCUAUCAUCAUGUAGAUGGCGCCCCCUUGUGGAGAUUUUAUUGAGACAAGGUUUGGCUCUACCGCCCUGGCUGGAGUGCAGUGGCGAGAUCUCAGCCAACUGCAGACUCGAACUCCUGGAGCAAUCUUCCCACUUCAGCCUCCCGAGUAGAUUGGACUACAGGCACGCGCCACCAUGCCUGGCUGAUUUUUUUUAUUAUUAUUGGAGAGAUGAGGGGGUGUCUCGCUAUAUUGCUCAAGCUGGUCUUGAACUGCUGGCCUCGGAGAUCCUCCUGCCUCAGCCUCCCAAAGCACUGGGAUUGCAGUCAUAAGCCACUACACCCAGCCAGCCUUCUUCCUUUAUGGCAGGGGGUCUAUCUCUUGUUGGAUUUGAUCAUGGGUGCGUGAUUUGUAAUCAGCUGAAAAUCUGAAAGCACGGCAGAGAUGUUUUCUUGGAAAUAAGCAAUUUGUAUUCUUUUUUUUUUUUUCUAGACAGAGUCUUGCUCUGUCACCCAGGCUGGAGUGCAGUGGUGCAAUCUCGGCUCACUGCAGCCUCCACCUCCCGGAUUCAAACGACUCUCCUGCCUCAGCCUCCCGAGUAGCUGGGUUUACAGGCGUGUGCCACCAUGCCUGGCUAAUUUUUGUAUUUUUAGUAGAGACAGGGUUUUGCCAUGUUGCCCAGGGUGGUCUAGAAUUCCUGACCGCAAGUGAUCCGCCUGUCUGAGCCUCCCAAAGUGCUAGGAUUACAGUCAUGAGCCAUUGCACCUGGCAAUUUUCUCCAUUUUAAUAAGCCCUCCAAGAAGGUAACAAGGUCUUGUGGGCAAAGAAAUACAUAUGAAACUACAUCAACAUCUACAGAAGAGUGGCAGAUUUGCUUGGGUUCCCCAAACGCAGAUUCUGAGACAAUGACUUGGGUGAUGGCAGUUUAUUUGGGAGGUGAUCCCAGGAAGCAGGAGUGAGUUAGAGAACCAAGUCAGAAACAAGGCCAGCAUACCCAGGAGGCCCAAAUAUCUCAGUUGGGCUUGGAAGAAACUAUUCCCAAUGAAGUAGAGCUAAUAAGGCAUGUAAACUACACAUAACAAACAUCCUCAGAGAAAUGACGGAGGAUAAUGGCAAGUCGAAGCGAGAAGAGGAGGUUAUGAAGCAGAAGCUAACGGGAGAUGAGGGAUAUGAAAAACUCAAUUAUUGAAAUAAUUAUGUGUUGGAUGGUGUAUCAGAGGGCAGAAUAGACAGGGCUUUAAAAAUGAAUAAAUGAGGCCAGGCUUGGUGGUUCAGGCCUGUAAUCCCAGCACUUUAGGAGGCUGACACGGGAAGAUCGCUUGAGCCCAGGAGCUCAAAAUUAGCCUGGGCAACACAGCGAAAGCCCAUCUCUAUAAAAAAAUCAAAAAAUUAGCUGGAUGUGGUGGUGCACACCUGUAGUACCAACUACUGGGGAGGCUGAGGUGGGAGGAUUGCUUGAGUCCAGGAGAUCGAGGCUGCAGUGAGCUAUGUUCACACCACUGCACUUCAGCCUGGCGCGGUGGCUCACGCCUGUAAUCCCAACACUUUGGGAGGCCGAGACAGGCGGAUCACGAGGUUAGGAGAUGGAGAUCAUCCUGGCUAACAUGGUGAAACCUUGUCUCUACUAAAAAUACAAAAAAUUACCUGGGCGUGGUAGUGGGCGCCUGUAGUUCCAGCUACUUGGGAGGCUGAGGCAGGAGAAUGGCGUGAACCCAGGAGGUGGAACUCGCAGUGAGCCAAGAUCGCGCAACUGCACUCUAGCCUGGGCGACAGAGCGAGACUCCGUCUCAAAAAAAAAAAAAAAAAAGUGGACGAGAUGAAAAUACUAUUCCAGAAGCACCUGUAAGGGACAGAGAGAGGGAAACUGUAAGGAAAAAGUUAAGAUAUGUAAGCCAGGCAUGGUGGCUCAUGCCUGUAAUCCCAGUGCUUUGGGAGGCCGAGAUGGGUGGAUCACCUGAGGUCAGGAGUUUGAGACCAG